GUAGGUGGCAAGCGUUGUCCGGAAUUAUUGGGCGUAAAGCGCGCGCAGGCGGUUCUUUAAGUCUGAUGUGAAAGCCCACGGCUCAACCGUGGAGGGUCAUUGGAAACUGGAGAACUUGAGUACAGAAGAGGAAAGCGGAAUUCCACGUGUAGCGGUGAAAUGCGUAGAGAUGUGGAGGAACACCAGUGGCGAUGGCGGCUUUCUGGUCUGUAACUGACGCUGAGGCGCGAAAGCGUGGGGGAGCAAACAGGAUUAGAUACCCUGGUAGUCCACGCCGUAAACGAUGAGUGCUAAGUGUUAGGGGGUUUCCGCCCCUUAGUGCUGCAGCUAACGCAUUAAGCACUCCGCCUGGGAGUACGGCCGCAAGGCUG
rnacentral:rRNA from 1 species